AUUCAUUAAAAUUUUCAUAAAUAAUGUUGUUUGAAGAGAUUUCAAAACAAAGAAAAUGGAGUGACACUGUUUGAAGCUGAUGCAGAUGUCCCUCCUUUAGAAGUCAGAAUUUCAUCUUUGCUUCUCAAUCUAUUAUUUGAAUAAAAUUUAGCAUCACCUAGACCAACAUUUGUAAAGGGAAGGCUCCAACUUCAAAACAAUCCCAUCAAAUAUGCAAUAGCAUAUAUAUCUUUUAAGGAAAAGCAUAUCCUAACGAUCAUAUAACCAAACCUGAGAAUCUGAACAUCAAGAAUAAAAGAAGACAAAACAUGUAGGAAGCCACCUGAUGACUAAGAGAUGAGAUCUUAGAGCCGCUUUUGGGAAUUACUCCUGCUUGCUAUACCGAAGAAAGUAAGCUCCUGAAUUUUGAGUGUUACCGUAAUAUGAUGAAGCCUGGGUAUGCAAGAAGAAGAGGGGGAAGAGUUCAAGAAUCAAACAUCAAGAACUGAAGGUUUGUUCUAACCAUGCCUGAAAGUUUGUCUUAGU
rnacentral:lncRNA from 1 species